rnacentral:lncRNA from 13 species
AUUUUUUUCACCUGUGGGCCUUGAGGUCUGGAGUAGGGCUCCGUAUAGGCUUGUUGGUAAGCGUGUGAGCAACCCGUAGCCGGAGUGGCCUGUUGAACUUCACUCCUCCAGCCUCAUGGAAGCAGGAGCCUGUGAGCAUGGCCCGGGUCAGGAGGGCCAGAGUUCACCCUCCUUCACAAGGCUGCACGUGUGUCCUGCAGCCCCUGCUCUCACCAGGCUUGGUAUCAUCCCCAUGAGCUGCACAUCACAUGUCUUCUUCAGGCCCCUGGGAGGCAUGUUUCUGAUCAGAAAUACUUGAUGGCCAAGACCUUUGCAACCACAGAGUCUUCUGGCCUUGCCUCUGAAACCAACCACCUCCCUGUGGGAAAAUGCAAGAUUCUUAAAUUUAGAAACCACAGGGCCUUGUGAUUCCAAAUAGCACAUCCUUAUAAUCUUGAAACCUCAGAAACUCAAAGGCUCCCUCAAAGGAACUGACUGCCCAUCUUGUCCUCUGAAACCCUCCUUUUGGCUUCUAUUUCUUCAUCUGCUGGGUGGAGAUGAGAUCCCUGCCUUGCAUGUCACGGGAGGGCCAAAGAUAGCGAAUGUCAGGAGCCUAAUCUGACACUACAAAUACUGAAGUGGCAAUGUGCUCACAGUCCACCUACUCCAGCCUCUACGGAUCAUUUCCCUGGUGCCCUUAGCCUCCACCCACUGUCUGGGUCCCAGGACCAAUGCUCCUUUGUCAGCCAUCUGGGGCUGCAGCCUGCUCGGAGCACUCUGUUGGACCACGGGGUCAGCACUGGAUGCUUCACCAAGGCUCCAUCUAUGAAGCCCUCACCAGACGCUGAAGCUGCCAGCAUCUUGAUCUUGGACUUCCCAGUCUCUACAACUGUGAGUAAUAAAUUUCACAGCUCACCCAAUCUGAGCUAUUUCGUUACAGUAUCCUGAACCAACUAAGACAACUACCAUACCAUUUUGGCUACUUCCUGAGAAAGAAAUCUCUGUCUAAUUUAAGCCACUGUUAUUUCUGGGCUGUCUUUUCUUCAUAUAUCCAUGUGCC